GAUGAACGCUGGCGGCGUGCCUAAUACAUGCAAGUCGAGCGAACAGAUAAGGAGCUUGCUCCUUUGACGUUAGCGGCGGACGGGUGAGUAACACGUGGAUAACCUACCUAUAAGACUGGGAUAACUUCGGGAAACCGGAGCUAAUACCGGAUAACAUAUUGAACCGCAUGGUUCAAUAGUGAAAGGCGGCUUUGCUGUCACUUAUAGAUGGAUCCGCGCCGUAUUAGCUAGUUGGUAAGGUAACGGCUUACCAAGGCAACGAUACGUAGCCGACCUGAGAGGGUGAUCGGCCACCCUGGAACUGAGACACGGUCCAUACUCCUACGGGAGGCAGCAGUAGGGAAUCUUCCGCAAUGGGCGAAAGCCUGACGGAGCAACGCCGCGUGAGUGAUGAAGGUCUUCGGAUCGGAAAACUCUGUUAUCAGGGAAGAACAAAUGUGUAAGUAACUGUGCACAUCUUGACGGUACCUGAUCAGAAAGCCACGGCUAACUACGUG
rnacentral:rRNA from 1 species